rnacentral:tmRNA from 1 species
GGGGAUGUUCAGGAUUCGACAGACACAGGUUGAGCUUGAGUCACGUUCUGCAGGCAGCGUCUGCAUCAAUAACGCUAACUAAAAUUAAUUAACACAAAUUAUGAAAAUAAUUUUGCACUAGCUGCGUAAGCAGUCUAGAGCGAUCCGAACUAGCAUCACCCAUGUGACUAGCAAGGGUCUCAAAUUGAAGUGGGGUACGCUUGAGUCUUCCGUCUGGAGACUGGAGAAGAGAAUAAUCAGACUAGCAAAACAUCACGCCAGUUUUAUGGCUACUGUGAAGCGAAACCUUCAAAUUAUAAAACUAUGAGCGUAAAGGUUGAAGUGACAAUGUGUCUGGACAGGGGUUCAAUUCCCCUCAUCUCCAUAA